AGCCUAUUAGUUCAAUUGGUCGAGCACUGUAUACAUGUGUUACACAGAGGAUGUAGGUUCAAAUCCUACAUAGGCUA
rnacentral:tRNA from 1 species